rnacentral:rRNA from 1 species
AGUGAGCGCUGGCGGCAGGCCUAACACAUGCAAGUCGAGCGGCAGCGCGGGGGCAACCCUGGCGGCGAGCGGCGGACGGGUGAGGAAUUCGUCGGAAUCUGCCUUUUUGUGGGGGAUAACGUAGGGAAACUUACGCUAAUACCGCAUACGUCCUACGGGAGAAAGUGGGGGACCGCAAGGCCUCACGCAGAAAGAUGAGCCGACGACCGAUUAGCUAGUUGGUGGGGUAAAGGCCCACCAAGGCGACGAUCGGUAGCUGGUCUGAGAGGAUGAUCAGCCACACUGGGACUGAGACACGGCCCAGACUCCUACGGGAGGCAGCAGUGGGGAAUAUUGGACAAUGGGCGCAAGCCUGAUCCAGCCAUGCCGCGUGUGUGAAGAAGGCCUUCGGGUUGUAAAGCACUUUUGUCCGGAAAGAAAUCCCUGGAGCUAAUACCUUCGGGGGAUGACGGUACCGGAAGAAUAAGCACCGGCUAACUUCGUG